GGCCUCGUAGCUCAGCUGGUAGAGCGCGCGCUAUACAAAAGCGUAGACAGUGUCCAUGCGUGGAUGCGAAUCCCAUCAAGAUUA
rnacentral:tRNA from 1 species